UACGUAGGGUGCAGGCGUUAAUCGGAAUUACUGGGCGUAAAGCGUGCGCAGGCGGCUUCCUAAGUCAGAUAUGAAAUCCCCGGGCUCAACCUGGGAACUGCGUUUGAAACUGGGAGGCUAGAGUGCGGCAGAGGGGGGUGGAAUUCCGAGUGUAGAGGUGAAAUUCGUAGAUAUUCGGAGGAACACCAGUGGCGAAGGCGGCUCACUGGUCCGGUACUGACGCUGAGGUGCGAAAGCCAGGGGAGCAAAGCGGG
rnacentral:rRNA from 1 species